UUGUGGCCACAUCACAUUGAACCACUGGUUCCCUUACGAUCACCAAAGUUAAACAACAUCAAGUAUGGUCAGUAGUUAGAUGGGUGACCACUUGGUAAUACCAGUUGCUGUAAG